rnacentral:rRNA from 1 species
UGGGGAAUUUUGGGCAAUGGGCGAAAGCCUGACCCAGCAACGCCGCGUGAAGGAUGAAGUCUCUCGGGAUGUAAACUUCGUAAGAAUAGGAAGAAUAAAUGACGGUACUAUUUGUAAGGUCCGGCUAACUACGUGCCAGCAGCCGCGGUAAUACGUAGGGACCAAGCGUUGUUCGGAUUUACUGGGCGUAAAGGGCGCGUAGGCGGCAAUUCAAGUCAUCUGUGAAAUCUCCGGGCUUAACUCGGAACGGUCAGAUGAUACUGCUUUGCUAGAGUGCAGAAGGGGCAAUCGGAAUUCUUGGUGUAGCGGUGAAAUGCGUAGAUAUCAAGAGGAACACCUGAGGUGAAGACGGGUUGCUGGGCUGACACUGACGCUGAGGCGCGAAAGCCAGGGGAGCAAACGGGAUUAGAUACCCACGUAGUCCCUGAGCGGGCUGGCAAGGCGCAU